GUAAAUAGACUGUAUAGGGGCAAGAAUAGAAGUGUGAACCUCAGAGUGAUGAGCUGUUAGCAAUGAUCCAGGUGAGAGGCAAAGUGGCUUAGACCAGGGUGAUAGCAGUGGAAGGGAUGAGACAAGGAUGGGUCCUGGACUUGUUUAUUGGUGACAGGACCAUUGGUUACCUGGGUGUGAGGUGUAAGAGAAAGAAAAGGAGUCAAGCAUGACUAGAAGAUAUUUAUGCUUGGUGAUUUCAGUAUUCAUAUAGAUGACCCAUCCAACUCCCUCCCAUCUCAAUUCCUUUAGGCUUGAUGUGUGUGUGUGUGUGGUGGGGUGGGAGGUCACAUACUCAAGCUGAGUCACAUUGAGUUUGAGGUUAGAUCAUUCAAGUGAAUAUGGUGAGUAGGCAGUUGAAAUAUGAGUCUAGACUUCAAAAUAGAUGUCAGGGCUGGCAAGUUACAGCCACAAAACUGGAUGAAAUCACCCAGGGAGUGAGUAUUGAUAGAAAAGAGAAGAUACCCAAGGCCUGAGGCCUGGAUCAUUCCAAUGUUUAACAAUCUGGAAGAAGGAGGAGGAAUAAGCAAAAGAGAUGAACAGAAACUAGUGAGAUAAGAGGAAAACAGUAGAGAGUCAUGGAAGCCAAACGAGGAAUCUGUUUCAGCAGAGCCACUGUAAGGCCAUGCUACUCCUUUGUGAAAACAUAACAAAGCAAACAAAAGCCCUCUCUUCCUUAAGUAAAAAUAAAUUAAAUUACUAUUGUAUUUACUUUCCAGUAAGAAGAAAUACAAAAACCAUAAAGUCAUUCUGUGUAGAUUAUACAAAUCAAAUAUUGAGCACAAAAGUAUAGACAAUUUGCAAAUUUGGUCACAGCAAUUAAGAACUCAAAGCCACCAGAGUAUAAUAAUUUAUUAUAAAAGAGUUUCAUAUCUUACUUUUUUUCAGAACAGACAUCUUUGUGGCAGUUUCAGUGCUUGCUUAUUGUAUUUCUAUAGGAUGGUGAUUGUGCUGGAGCCCAGCCCAGGAAGAUGGCACCUUCAGCAAUGCUGUAUCCCCUCUUGUGGCUGCUGGUCCCGCUGAGGUUCCCAAGAGGCUCUUAGCAGUGUCAAAAUCCUACCUGAAGGAGCCACAGAAUGUCAAGUUCAUAUAACUAUCAUUUUGACUUUGAGGUGGGAAUGUAUCGGGAGAGUAGAACCCUGGGUCUCUGAUAACUAUGAAGCCACAUGCUAGGCUUGGACCACCAAACUCUGGCUGUGUUAUGCAUGAGAGUGAGAUAAAACAUCUUAUUCUUUAAAAUAAAGAACUUCUGUUCCUUAAAUGCACCAUAAAAUGAAAAAUGAGAGAGUAAGACUAUAUUUGCAAACAUGUAUCUGACAUAAGUUGAGAAUCCAUAAUGUAUAACAUUUAGCAAUUGGUAACAAAAAGAUGACUCAAUAAAAAAUGGGCAUAGAAAUGAGCAAGUGUUUUACAGAAGAGAAAUAUAUAUGGCAAAUAAACAUAUUAAAAUGCCCAACCUUAAUAUUGUAGUAAUAAUAGAAAUAGAAAUUUUAUAUCCACAAUAUAACAACAAUUUAAAAGUCUGAAAUACCAAGUAUUAGCUAUGAUAUGGUACAAUGGGAAAUUAUACCUUGCUUGUGGCAAUGUAAAUUCGUACAAUUUUUUUUCUUUUGUUGUUGGUGGCAUUGGUGUGAUAGCUAAGAAUUCAUUGUCUCAUCAUUUUGGAAAACAAUGAUUUGGAAAUCUGAAGUUAUGGAAAGAUGGUAGGAGUAACUGAGCAAGUAAGUUGGAAAUAUAGGUUGUCUAAUAAAUAUGAGGCUUGAAUUCAUGAUUCAAGAGGCAGAAAAUUUUGUGUGAUGACAAAGUACAAGGUGAAACCUUGCACAUGGUUUGCUAAAGUGGAAUUGUUCUUUGAAGAUAACAAGGUAUAUUAAUUUAGGUUCCAUCAGGAUAGAGAAACCCCACAGUAAUUUGAACAGAAAAAGUUUAACAUAAAAAAUUAAGGAUAAAAAAUAAAAAGGGCUAGCAAUGUGGCUCAGUGGUUGAGUGCCCCUGGGUUCAAUCCCCAGUACAACCACCACCAACAACAACAGAAAAAAAGAAGUAUAACAGGAUUGGAACAUUGAGGGACUGGCCUAGUAAAAAAAAAAGGAACUCUAAAAUAAUAUAGGAAUAGCAGAUGUAAUAUAGAAUAACAGACAAUAUAAAAAUAACAUGUAGGGGCUGGGGAUGGAGCUCAGUUGGUAGAGUGCUUGCCUCGUAUGCACAAGGCCCUGGGUUCAAUCCCCAGCAACACACACACACACACACACACACACAAAGACAAAUAACGUGUAAUAGCCAAUACUCGUAGAACUGUGAUAACCCUCCUCUCUGAUAUCUAGGCCAUAUAUUAGAGAAGUUGUUUGGUGCUGAGUCAGUGGAACUUGUUGGACAUCUGUCCUCUGGAACUAGCCAUAAAUAUGCUCCUCUAAGAUACUAGUUCGCAAGGAAGGUGUCUUAACAGAGACAAUUAGCUACAGAACUGCCCAAGGGCAGUGCCAAGGGAAGCAGUACAUUUGGUACAUUGUGUCCUGGGGAAGCUAGCGCUUCAGAAGGUGGGCAAAGUAAAAAUGUUUCAAAGUUCCAGGUCCAUUUUCACAGAGUAGACAUAAUGGUGCACCAAAAGGAAAGCUGGGAGCUCAGCAAGAGUAUGCGGAGGGAGCACACAGGAAACAGGAAGUAAAACCCCUCCUUACUGCAAUGUCUCUGCACCAUUGAUUACUGGUAAAACUUAAAACCAUACAAGCUGGCAAAUCAAAAUAUAUUUCAAAGUUCCAGGUCUAUUUUCACAGAACAGGCAUGAAGAUACACUGAAAGUUAACACAUUAAUUACUGGAAGAAGCAGUCAAAUAACUGAGUGCACAUGGUGUUGGAUUGUUGUUUUGGAGGAGUUGAAGUGAACUAGGUGUUGGCAGAAACUGGAGUACACUAGAAGGUCAGAAAUCAAUUUAUUUCUUCAAGUGUGACUGUGACGUUGGUCUAUCUACUGCAGAAUCAAGUGUGAUAUUAAUAAUACAUUUUCCUUUCCCCAUUGCACAUCUUCUGAGUUAGAAUAUAUUUGGGAAUUGGGCCCCCAAUCCUUCUUUUUAACAAGUGUGCCAUUAGAUUUGAAAUUUAAAAGUACAUCAAUUAUGACUAUUGCAAGUAGAUAAAAGUAAAGGAAAAAAGUAUAACAGGUCCCAGUGUACCAACUAUCCAGUUUUAACAAACCUUCACACUUGCCUUAUUUUCUGCAGAUAUUUUUAUUUUACAUAAAAACCUAUUUUAGUUCAAGUUCCACUUACUCAUUCCUUUCUCAUUUAUCACUCUUAGGAGGUGAUUAUUCUGAACUUCCCUGUUUGUCAAUCGCUGCUUUAGGCUAUGGAGAGCUUUUGAGGGUUUUGAGUAGGGAUGUUAACGCUAGAGGUGCUUUUGGAAAAUUGGUAAAAAUGUGCUCAGCUGGAGAACUCAUAAAAUGAGAAGGGGAGGUGGACAAGUACUCCAGAGGCAGGUUCAGUGUCCCAGAGGGUGUGGUCCUAGACUUUUGCCCUUUUUACUCAUGCUUAUGGAUGAAGUCUGCUCUUUGUGUUCCUGUGACCUCCAGUAUUCCCCUGCCAACCUUAUUCCCCUAGUUCAUCAGUUGCUUUAGCAAGCCAGCUCAAGUUCCACGAUUAGUCAUUUCACCAAGAUGCUUGCCACUGCCCUGAAAUUCCCUGCUUUUUUGACAUUAUACCAUACCAACUUUGACUCCAAUCUUUAUGUUAAUAGAGCUGUUUCUUUUGUCUUGAGGUGGUGACCUUGCUUUUCUGGUUCUACUUUAUUCCUUAUAUUAAUUUGCUAUAGCCAGCAUCCAAAAUGAGGCAGAUUUUCAUCCAGGUGACCUCAAUAAACUCAAGCCUAUUUUGGACUAGGCCAGGUUCCUGAAGUUACUCUUGCUUUGUUCUUCAUUAGAAAAUGAAAGUGAUACCUUAAUAAUACUGCCAAAUUUUGUUGUCUGUAGAGUAAAAUUUUGAUGAGCAAUUGUGAAAAUUGUCCAAAUGACAUAUAAAAGUGUUUAUAGAGGUCAGACCAGGGAAUUUAAUUUCUUAACAAAUGAAUUCUGUUUUUAUUUCCAUUACAUAGAUUUGGCCAUGGGUCAAAGGCAAUAAAACAUCUGACUAUAUUUAUUUUGCUUAUAUCAGCCAAAACAUAUGGGGGUCAAAUCCCUAUUAUAUGGAUAGACUAUGGAUAGACACAACAUGUAUGAAUCUCUAAAUGAUGAUGUUGAAUUAAGAAACCCUAUGAAGUAGAACCAACCUAGAUGCCCUUCAAUAGAUGAAUGGAUAAAAAAAAAGUAUGGCAUAUAUACACAAUGGAAUAUUACUCAGCAAUAAAAGAGAAUAAAAUCAUGGCAUUUGCAGGUAAAUUGGUGGAGCUAGAGAAGAUAAUGCUAAGUGAAUUUAGCCAAUCCCCCAAAACCAAAUGCUGAUUGUUUUGUUUGAUAUAAGGAGGCUGAUUCAUAGUGGGAUAGGGAGCGGGAGCAUUGGAGGAAUAGAUG
rnacentral:lncRNA from 1 species